AGACCAUGGUGUGGGUAUCUCCUUAAUAACUCCUUGAACUUUUCCCAUGUCUCAUACAAGGAUUCCCCGUCGUCUUGAGAGUAAGAAUUGAUCUCGGUCAUGAGUUU
rfam:Helianthus annuus linkage group 15, whole genome shotgun sequence.